UUGCUACUUUCAAGUGAUAGAUACUGACUAUGAAAACUAUGGCAUUAUUUACAUAGGAAACAGAGAAAACAAGGAAGACUUUGAAGUUAAACUCUAUGGCAGGAAUAAAGUAGUAUCUGAUAAAGGCUUGAAGAAAUUCCAAGAAGUCAUAAAAUCCGUUGGAAUUCCAGGGGAGAAUGUGAUUACGCUAUCUGGAACAAUAGCCUGUAGUUAAAGAAAUCUGAAUGCAACAGAGGGAGCACAAUACAGACCCAUGUCCUCUUGUGUCUGGAAAAGGGUAGCUGCCAGAUGGCCUUCAACAUUCCCCUUUCCCAUCCAUGGGAAGAUGGUGUUCUCUUUGCUUCAAGGGCUGCAGCUUUCCAUGCUGGAUAUGAUUGGGAUGCCCCAACCUGUACCUUUGCUUAGGGGAUUUCUGAGUACUUGGGGUAUUGCUCAUCUGGAAUCCAAAGUAAUUGUUUUCCCUAUUCUUCAUUUAGCAAAUGCCUAACUAAGCUAGGUGAUUAAUAAAUUAAUAAAUACUAACUUGUUUUCUAAACACAGACGAUAUGUACCAGGGCCUCUUUUAUGCUGCAGGUCAAAGUCCAUCACACUCAAUGACAUUAAAA